AAUGAAACUACUACAGUGUGGCUAACACAUAACACUGUUUGUCGAAUGGUAUUUAUCACUUGAUUGUGAUAAUUCCCAUUUCAGUUCAAGAAAACACAUGCAACAUAACGUUAACAUAAUGUUAACGUUGCUGAAUGAUAUGAAUAUAUAUUAUCACUAUUUGAAUGUACUCAAUGAAUAUGAGAUUGAUUCAAAUAGGGACAUGUAUGGUAAUGUAUGUUCAAUGUAUCAUUUGAAAU
rnacentral:rRNA from 1 species